ensembl:lncRNA
CUCUUUCAACAUGAUACACAUCCUUUCAGACAUUCUCCUUUAGUCUUAAGAAAAAAAUCCAUUUUGUAAGAGUAAUGUUUGCAAGAUGGCUAAAGAGGUACAUGAAGUGUCUUCGAAGGAGCUUGUUGCUGGUCUGUCAGGUCCCUCCAUCUCGCUAAUCCAAUUAGAGUGACCCAGUGAGAGCCGAGUUUUACAGCGAGUGUAUCUGUGCUAGCAGCGCCUGACCUGAGAGAACUCAGAGGACAGUGUAAGUAGGCCAGCUGGAACUCACGCUCCUGUGACACAGGGAGAAGAGAUGAGGAGAGAAAAACAGAGAGUGAUAGAAAGACAGAGAGCACUUGAGCCAGACUGUGUCACAGCGGGUGCUGAAUGAGACACCGAUUCCUGAGGGAUGGCAGGAUGUGAGCCGACACUGUGACACGGGUUCUAGCUGAACUCCCAUGAAAUCACUUUCC